UCCAGACUCCUACGGGAGGCAGCAGUGAGGAAUAUUGGUCAAUGGGCGGAAGCCUGAACCAGCCAAGUCGCGUGAGGGAAUAAGGCCCUACGGGUCGUAAACCUCUUUUGCCGGGGAGCAAGGGCGGGGACGUGUCCCGGCCCGGAGAGUACCCGGAGAAAAAGCAUCGGCUAACUCCGUGCCAGCAGCCGCGGUAAUACGGAGGAUGCGAGCGUUAUCCGGAUUUAUUGGGUUUAAAGGGUGCGUAGGCGGGCUUUUAAGUCAGCGGUAAAAAUUCGGGGCUCAACCCCGUCCGGCCGUUGAAACUGGGGAUCUAGAGUGUGCGAGAGGUAUGCGGAAUGCGUGGUGUAGCGGUGAAAUGCAUAGAUAUCACGCAGAACCCCGAUUGCGAAGGCAGCAUACCGGUGCACAACUGACGCUCAGGCACGAAAGCGUGGGUAUCGAACAGGAUUAGAUACCCGAGUAA
rnacentral:rRNA from 1 species